rnacentral:misc_RNA from 1 species
GCACUGUUUCGGUCCAGCGGACAGAACAACAACACAAAUUGUGUAUUCGAAGCUGUCAUUGAGGUAUGUUUCAGCAAUCAAAUUCUGUCUCGUUUGAUUGAAUCCAUUGGAGACGAGCAAGAUGAUUCACUUCCUAAUGGUCGCUGGUAAGCAAGGGAAGCUCAGAAUUGGUCGAUUCUUCACGCAUCAGAAGGAGCAAAUAUCCACACAGACAGCGGUCAUCAAACUCUGUCUCCGGGACGGGAAGGAGAAUGAGCUGGCCAUGUUUGAACUUUUCCAAAAUUUGGUGGAGACUUUGAAGACAUACCUAGGAAAAGUGACUGAGGUGGAUGUAUCCUUGUUUCAAAAGCUUAAGGUCAUUGGGCUUCAGAUCAUGUAUUAUUAUGUAAGGUUAAUGUAACCAAGUGAAUGCCUCAUUUUGAUUGUUCCAAUCAUUAUGGCCUAUAUAUGUUGCAUUGCUUAUUGUUGAAUUCCCCUGAAUGAGAUUUCAAGAUGAUCAUAAUCUAAGGCGUGUUUAGCAGAGCGGGUGCUCAUGAGCGAUUGUCAAAAUUUCCCUAUAAAAAUUCCCCUAUACCAGUAACAUAAAUUUUGGCAAGUGCUCAGGAGCCCAUGCUCUAUUGAACACACCUGGUUUAUAUGAGAAAAUUCUUUAUCAAAAUUAACAAUAUUAUUAUAACAGAAUGAACAGAAUCAGUAUAGACUGUGAAGAUUACAUGUGAACAUUGGUAACAAAAUUGCAGGAUAAAAAUAUGUAGUGCCCAGUACAAUCAUUAACAUUUAUACAAAUCUUAAAUUCCUUGACUUUGUGAAGAUUAUAUUCAAUAUGGACCGAGUUUACAUGAUCAUUGAUGAGAUGAUAAUUGACGGACAAAUCGCAGAGACAUGUAGCAGUAGAAUUCUGGUACCACUUCAGCUGAUGGACGCCGCUAAAUGAGGGGGUGACUCCACCUGCCUUAGCACUUGUGCACGGUAGCACUGAAAGAUAAGACCGCUGCACCAAACACCCGGUACCAUUUACACCGGAGAUAGAGCACCUGUUGUCCAUCAAGAGAACAGAGAGUGUGUCCUGUAUAAUGCUGGUGUUAACAGAUUAAAGAAAUAAUUGACUAUUUCAAUUCUCUAUGUACAUUUACUUCUAAUGUUUACAGAACCUUGUGAAGACUUUUUAGAUACAUGUAUGUACAAUGUACAAUAAAUGAUAGUCAACA